ACAAGGGAAAUUAUUACCAACAAUAUCUGCCACUGUGUUGCCUGUGAGGACUUGAAAUCUUGCGUGGUGAUUUCCUGGAUGAGCACAGGCCUGGGAAGGGGUUGGCAGUACCAACCAGCCUCACCAGUCUGCUUUGGAAGAGUGUGAACAGUGCCCAGUUUGAGUCUGAGCUAUGCAGGUAGGAGGGAAGGGUGGCGGCUGGUCGGAAUGAGCGCCAUCUAGUGGAAGUGAGGCUGCAAGGCUGACAGUAGAAAAUGGGAGCGGACGACAAUUAACAUCCUGGUUCUACUGAAGGAAUUCAUAAAACUCGAAUAAGCCAAGAGCAAAGACCAACUUCAGAAGAUGUUUAUGGAUUCAAGGUUCUUAGAGACCAUAAGCUCUGUUAUAAAGGAAUCCGGAUGAGGCUAGGUGGGAAACAGCAUGCCCAGGUAAUCCACUCAAGAUCGCUCAUGACAAAAGAAAAGGAGAAGAUAAGGAUACAGGGGUACCUCACAGAAUCCAAGGAUGGGAGCAUAGCUGGACCUCAGGAAAAAUGGGAACGGCACGGGAAGCCAUUGGGAAUGAAGGCAUGAAGUGGCCAUUCUCAGUGUUGUCCUGGGACCGCAGGGUCUCCUGUCACUCAUUUCUCAGUCUACACUGUUACUUCCUUCUUUUCUCUCUCAAACUCUCUUUCCCACCUUCUCUGUGUACCCACCUGCUCCCGACCUCAUAAGUCUUCAAAUCUACCCACAUACAGAAGCUGUGCUCUGUAGGGUUGUUCCCAAGGCGACGGUGAUGUGGUGACCUGAGGGGGGACGAGGCUCUUCGCUGGACCACCUGCCCUUUUCUGAUGAGAAUAUGCAGGUUCCUGAUCCCAUCAUAUUUUCUGGUCUGUCUCCCAAAGAGCCCACUCCAAACCCCCUUGCAGGGUCUGCAGGACUAAGAAAUCUCCAAUACCUGAAGAAGCACGCCAUGCCAUCUCAGAGAGAA